UACGAAGGGGGCUAGCGUUGCUCGGAAUCACUGGGCGUAAAGGGUGCGUAGGCGGGUCUUUUAAGUCAGAGGUGAAAUCCUGGAGCUCAACUCCAGAACUGCCUUUGAUACUGAGGAUCUUGAGUUCGGGAGAGGUGAGUGGAACUGCGAGUGUAGAGGUGAAAUUCGUAGAUAUUCGCAAGAACACCAGUGGCGAAGGCGGCUCACUGGCCCGAUACUGACGCUGAGGCACGAAAGCGUGGGGAGCAAACAGG
rnacentral:rRNA from 1 species